UACGUAGGGUGCGAGCGUUGUCCGGAAUUAUUGGGCGUAAAGAGCUCGUAGGCGGUCUGUCGCGUCUGCUGUGAAAUCCCGAGGCUCAACCUCGGGCCUGCAGUGGGUACGGGGCAGACUAGAGUGCGGUAGGGGAGAUUGGAAUUCCUGGUGUAGCGGUGGAAUGCGCAGAUAUCAGGAGGAACACCGGUGGCGAAGGCGGGUCUCUGGGCCGAUACUGACGCUGAGGAGCGAAAGCGUGGGGAGCGAACAGG
rnacentral:rRNA from 1 species